rnacentral:rRNA from 1 species
CCUACGGGGGGCAGCAGUGGGGAAUAUUGGACAAUGGGGGCAACCCUGAUCCGGCCAUGCCGCGUGUGUGAAGAAGGCCCUCGGGUUGUAAAGCACUUUCAGUGAGGAAGAACGCCUGGUGGUUAAUACCCAUCAGGAAAGACAUCACUCACAGAAGAAGCACCGGCUAACUCCGUGCCAGCAGCCGCGGUAAUACGGAGGGUGCGAGCGUUAAUCGGAAUUACUGGGCGUAAAGCGCGCGUAGGUGGCUUGAUAAGCCGGUUGUGAAAGCCCCGGGCUCAACCUGGGAACGGCAUCCGGAACUGUCAAGCUAGAGUGCAGGAGAGGAAGGUAGAAUUCCCGGUGUAGCGGUGAAAUGCGUAGAGAUCGGGAGGAAUACCAGUGGCGAAGGCGGCCUUCUGGACUGACACUGACACUGAGGUGCGAAAGCGUGGGUAGCAAACAGGAUUAGAUACCCGAGUAGUC